rnacentral:tRNA from 5 species
GCCGCCGUAGCUCAGCCUGGAAGAGCGCUCGGCUCAUAACCGGGUUGCCCCGGGUUCAAAUCCCGGCGGCGGCA